rnacentral:rRNA from 1 species
GACGAACGCUGGCGGCGUGCCUAACACAUGCAAGUUGAGCGACGGACCAGGGCUUGCCCUGGGGCAAAGCAGCGAACGGGUGAGUAACACGUGGGUAACCUACCCCGAUAACCGGGACAACCCGAGGAAACUCGGGCUAAUACCCGAUGUGCUCACUGGACUUCGGUUCAGUGCGUAAAGGAAGCCUCGACCUCCGCAUCGGGAGGGGCCCGCGGCCGAUUAGUUAGUUGGUGCGGUAACGGCUCACCAAGACCGCGAUGCGUAGCUGGUCUGAGAGGACGAUCAGCCACACUGGGACUGAGACACGGCCCAGACUCCUACGGGAGGCAGCAGUGGGGAAUCUUGCGCAAUGGGCGAAAGCGUGACGCAGCAACGCCGCGUGGGGGAAGAAGGCCUUCGGGUUGUAAACCGCUUUUAGGAGGGAAGAAGGUUUGGGGGUGAAUAGCCGGCCGGACUGACGGUACCUGCACAAGAAGCACCGGCUAACUACGUG